UGUGGGAGCUGGCUUGCCUGCGAUAGCUAUCUGUCAGUUGAAACAUGUGUGACUGAUACACCGCCAUCGCAGGCAAGCCAGCUCCCACA
rnacentral:misc_RNA from 1 species